rnacentral:hammerhead_ribozyme from 1 species
AUCCAACUGAUGAGUCCCAAAUAGGACGAAACGUGCAUCCUGGAU